AUAAAGAUUGAAAUAAAAAAGGACUGCAAGAAACUUUUCCUUGUCUUUAUGCUUUCCUAGGCAACCAGCUGGGAGCCGCUGACAGCAUCCUGACAUCAGGAGAGAGAGAGAGAGAGAGAGAGAGAGAGAGAGAGAGAGAGAGAGCGCAUAGGGGCUGUCUACUGAUAUUCCUGAAUUGCAUUUUUGAAGUAAAUGAAGUAGCUAAUGACCCAUCAAGAUGCCCAGCACACUUGGACAGUUGGAGGAGAAUGGUAGUGGCACAGGCUGCAAGCGUAAAUAUGUCUAUUCAGAGGCGAGACCCGUUGAAUUCAAUUGGGCUUACUUUCAGAUGACCUGGCUAGCUGCUGAUGUCAAGCACUGCAACCCGAAAAUC
rnacentral:lncRNA from 1 species